rnacentral:rRNA from 1 species
GCUUGUCUCAAAGAUUAAGCCAUGCAUGUCUAAGUGUAAAUAAGUCUAUACUGUGAAACUGCGAAUGGCUCAUUAUAUCAGUUAUAGUUUAUUUGAUGGUUCUUGCUACUUGGAUAACCGUAGUAAUUCUAGAGCUAAUACAUGCGUCAAACCUCGACUUCUGGGAGAGGUGUAUUUAUUAGAUGGAAACCAAUGCAGGGCAACCUGGAAUAUGGUGAUUCAUAAUAACUCGCGGAUCGGUUUACCGAUGCAUCAUUCAAGUUUCUGCCCUAUCAGCUUUGGAUGGUAGGGUAUUGGCCUACCAUGGCUUUAACGGGUAACGGAGAAUUAGGGUUCGAUUCCGGAGAGGGAGCCUGAGAAAUGGCUACCACAUCCAAGGAAGGCAGCAGG